rnacentral:rRNA from 1 species
GACGAACGCUGGCGGCGUGCUUAACACAUGCAAGUCGAACGGUAAGGCCCUUCGGGGUACACGAGUGGCGAACGGGUGAGUAACACGUGGGUGAUCUGCCCUGCACUUUGGGAUAAGCCUGGGAAACUGGGUCCAAUACCGGAUAGGACCAUGCGCUUCACGGUGUGUGGUGGAAAGCUUUUGCGGUGUGGGAUGGGCCCGCGGCCUAUCAGCUAGUUGGUGAGGUAAUGGCUCACCAAGGCGACGAUCAGUAGCUGGUCUGAGAGGAUGAUCAGCCACACUGGGACUGAGACACGGCCCAGACUCCUACGGGAGGCAGCAGUGUGGAAUAUUGGACAAUGGGGGCAACCCUGAUCCAGCCACGCCGCGUGAGUGAUGAAGGCCUUAGGGUUGUAAAGCUCUUUUACCCGGGACGAUAAUGACUGUACCGGGAGAAUAAGCCCCGGCUAACUUCGUGCCAGCAGCCGCUGUAA